rnacentral:rRNA from 1 species
GACGAACGCUGGCGGCGUGCUUAACACAUGCAAGUCGAACGGAAAGGCCCUGCUUUUGUGGGGUGCUCGAGUGGCGAACGGGUGAGUAACACGUGAGUAACCUGCCCUUGACUUUGGGAUAACUUCAGGAAACUGGGGCUAAUACCGGAUAGGAGCUCCUGCGGCAUGGUGGGGGUUGGAAAGUUUCGGCGGGUGGGGAUGGACUCGCGGCUUAUCAGCUUGUUGGUGGGGUAGUGGCUUACCAAGGCUUUGACGGGUAGCCGGCCUGAGAGGGUGACCGGCCCCAUUGGGACUGAGCUACGGCCCGGACUCCUACGGGAGGCAGAAGUGGGGAAUAUUGCACGAUGGGCGGAAGCCUGAUGCAGCAACGCCGCGUGCGGGAUGACGGCCUUCGGGUUGUAAACCGCUUUCGCCUGUGACGAAGCGUGAGUGACGGUAAUGUGUAAAGAAGCACCGGCUAACUACGUG